rnacentral:rRNA from 1 species
UACGUAGGGGGCUAGCGUUGUCCGGAUUUAUUGGGCGUAAAGCGCGUGUAGGCGGCCAGGAAGGUCCGCUGUGAAAACUCGAGGCUCAACCUCGAGACGUCGGCGGAAACCCUCUGGCUAGAGUCCGGAAGAGGAGAGUGGAAUUCCCGGUGUAGCGGUGAAAUGCGCAGAUAUCGGGAAGAACACCCGUGGCGAAGGCGGCUCUCUGGGACGGUACUGACGCUGAGACGCGAAAGCGUGGGGAGCGAACAGG